rnacentral:rRNA from 1 species
UACGAGAGCCUCGAGCGUUAUCCGGAAUUAUUGGGCGUAAAGGGUGCGUAGGUUGUUCUGUUAGUCUUUUGUCAAAGCCCGGGGCUUAACUUCGGGAAGGCGAAGGAAACGGCAGAACUUGAAAGUGCGAGAGGUAUACGGAACUCAUGGUGUAGCGGUGAAAUGCGUUGAUAUCAUGGGGAACACCAAAAGCGAAAGCAGUAUACUGGCGCAUAUUUGACACUGAAGCACGAAAGCGUGGGUAGCGAAUGGG